CUCAGCCAAAGAUUGUUAACUUCCUCCAUGUUGUACUUGUCCUAUCGACGCAGACACGAAUUCAUUCAAGCAGCACUUUGAGAGCAAGCAUCCCAAGUCUACAAUGGUCCCAGUACUGGUUGAUGUGCAAGCCUAAGUGUACCUACAGCUGGGACACAUGAUGACCACGAUUUGAAUGCUGCAACUGAGACGGAAUGACAUUGAGGGACACACGCGAGACCCCGAGUAUGACUGAACAUGGGCCGGAUAGUUGUGAUAACGACCUAAAAGAGUUCAUUGACAACUCAACGGUGGAAGGCCUGACCAGGCCUACAGGGGGGAGGUCAGUGACCUGGGAGUGUGGUGCUGGAGCAACAACCUCUCCCUCAAUGUCAGCAAGAUCAAGGAGCUGAUCAUGGACUACAGGAAAACGGGGGUGAGCACGCCCCCAUCCACAUCGACGGGGCGGCAGUGGAGCAGGUAGCUACUGCUACUCUCUGGUUAUCAUAUAUGCAUAGUCUCUUUAACCAUAUCUACAUGUACAUACUACCUCAGUCAGCCCGACUAACCGUUGCCUGUAUGUAGCUUUGCUACCGUAUAUAUCCUCGCUACUGUUAUUUUUCACUGUCUUUUUACUGUUGUUUUUAUUUCUUUACUUACCUAUUGUUCACCUUAUACCUUUUUUUGUUGUUGAAAUUGCACUGUUGGUUAGAGCCUGUAAGUAAGCAUUUCACUGUAAGGUCUACACAUGUUGUAUUCGGCGCACAUGACAAAUAAACUUUGAUUUGAUUUGAG
rnacentral:lncRNA from 1 species